GUCAUCAAAGCUAGACAUAUACUAGAAUUGCAUGAUACGGAGAAGAUUAGCAUGGCCCCUGUGCAAGGAUGACAAAAUAGUAAAGAAAUAGAAAUAGUGUUU